rnacentral:tRNA from 1 species
CGGUAUCAAGAAAGUCAAUGACUUAGAAGAUGCUCACUGCGUUCGGGACGCAGGGGUCGCAGGUUCGAAUCCUGCCACUCCGACCA